rnacentral:rRNA from 1 species
GAUGAACGCUGGCGGCAGGCUUAACACAUGCAAGUCGAACGAGAUCUUCGGAUCUAGUGGCAGACGGGUGAGGAACACGUGGGAACAUCCCUUUCAGUUCGGAAUAACGUUGGGAAACUAACGCUAAUACCGGAUACGUCCUUCGGGAGAAAGAUUUAUCGCUGAAAGAUUGGCCCGCGUCUGAUUAGCUAGUUGGUGAGGUAAUGGCUCACCAAGGCUACGAUCAGUAGCUGAUCUGAGAGGAUGAUCAGCCACAUUGGGACUGAGACACGGCCCAAACUCCUACGGGAGGCAGCAGUGGGGAAUAUUGGACAAUGGGCGCAAGCCUGAUCCAGCCAUGCCGCGUGAGUGACGACGGCCUUCGGGUUGUAAAGCUCUUUUGUCUGGGAAGAUAAUGACUGUACCGGAAGAAUAAGCCCCGGCAAACUUCGUGCCAGCAGCCACCGUAA